UACAGAGGUCUCAAGCGUUGUUCGGAUUCAUUGGGCGUAAAGGGUGCGUAGGUGGCGGGGUAAGUCAGGUGUGAAAUCUCGAGGCUCAACCUCGAAACUGCACUUGAUACUGCCUUGCUCGAGUACUGGAGGGGAGAUUGGAAUUUACGGUGUAGCAGUGAAAUGCGUAGAUAUCGUAAGGAAGACCAGUGGCGAAGGCGAAUCCCUGGACAGUUACUGACACUGAGGCACGAAGGCCAGGGGAGCAAACGGG
rnacentral:rRNA from 1 species